UGAGACUUUAACACACUCCACUGCUCUGUCAGUCAGUCAAUCGUUAGAGAGACAGGAUGGAGUUCAGUCCACUCGCUGUGAUGCUCUGUGAGUAAAUGUUCUCUUUGUGUCUUCAUUAGAAUGAGUGGUGGGGUAUAAAGUUGUUCAUCUGCAGUCUGAAUGUCCUGAGUGAUGAGUUUAUUGUGUGAUUAGUACAUGUGCAGAAUGUUACAGUGUGCGGUCUGUUGGUUUUAUGUCCCAGCGCUAAGUUUUUCACACUUCAAUAAAGUUAAAUAAAGAAGAAAAACACUUUAAUGAGCAGAAUAGUGACCUUUAAGUUAUUGUAGUUUUUGUUUAUUUAUUAUUAAGAGAGCUUAGAAUGGAUGGUGUUUGUACUUUCACCAAUGGAAGUCAGGGUUGUGAAUAACUGAAAUGUCUUUAGCUGCUGUGGUGAGACUCUGGUGGUGUUUCCUGUGAACAGAAAGGUUUAACAAAACCAUGUUAGUGUUAACUAGACUUACUGAGAAAAUGCCUUAUAACCUACAUUUCCAUUUUUGUGACUAUUAUGGUCUGUGCAGUGAAACAUCUCAGUACAAAAAGUUAAAUCUAAUACAAUAAUAUCAAACUAAUGCAUGUUUUAUUCACCAUUACUGAUUAUGUACUUAUUUAAAGUCUUUAAAACCACAGCAAACGAAUCCGUCGAAUGGGAGGUACCACGGUAAGCCGCUGGAUGUGGGUCUGUCAACUGAAAAAUGCAUGAACAAGGUGUGUAAAAAAUGUGUAUAGUUCAGCAGCCUCCCCCAGGUCCUAGUGCCAGCCCAGGAACACGUUCAAGAUGCGACGGAAAGAACUGUUGAUGAAAAAAGAUAUCAAAAAGAAAAUAUAUGAGAUAUUUUAGAUAUAUUGAUUUGCUUGGGGGGGUCUAAUGAAUAUUUGGGGGGUUUCCCCCUCAAAAUAGGCCUAGCGACAUCCCUGGCGUUAUCUGUAGUAAAACUGUAACAAGAACAUAAUGGGGUGCAAAUGGAGGAAUGGUUACACACGCAGGUUUGCACGGGCACAUUGAUAUAUGAAAACAGAGAAAAUACCUCAUAACCUACAGCAUUUUUGUUACUAUUAUGGUCUGUGCUGGGAAUCAUCUCAGUGCAGUAAGUUCAUUCUAAUACACACUAACAUCAAACAUUUUUAUUAAUAAUAAAACCAGCACUAUUUACUUAUUUGUGUCAAAAAUAACAGAAAUAAUGAUGCAGAAAUAAUCACUUCUCAUUAGCCUUGUUACACACAUAUACACACAAACACACACGCACACACACACAUACUCUCACACGCGCACACACACACACACACACACACACACGCACACACACACACACACAGGGAAGUGACAGUUUCAGAGGCCUGAGAGCAGAUACGAGUCAGCAGUUGUGGUUUAGCUUCUUUUUUUUUUAAUACAGUGUUGUGUGUUCAGCAGUAAAGAAGGGGACUGACUUGUAGUAACUUUAAUUUUGAUGGACAAAUAUAACCCCACUGUCACUUACUGAGGUGUUUUAAAGUCAACAGUUGACCAAGCUGAAAACAUUUGCAUGUUGCAUGGAUCCAUGUUGAUGCCAAAUCCUGAGCCUACCACCUGCAUCGUGCAGCAAAAAUCAUGAUAGGUGAGCCUGUGCCUACUCUACGCUCGGAUUCCUUUUCUUGACUAAGAAGAGUGAUCUUCAGCUGUUGUGGUCCAUCCGCCUCAAGGUUCAACAUUUUGUGCAUUCUGAGAUGCGUUUCUGCUCAAAGAGUGGCUAUUUGAGACACGUUUCCUUCGACUAUAGAUCAUAACUCAUCAUUUCCAACCUCUGACCAGGAAAAACCAUAGAAAACAUCCCCUCAACUCGAAAUUCCUACUUGAGAACUCGGGGUGGUCUUCCCAAAUAAUAAAGUGUUAUCUUUAAAGCAGAAACUGGAUCCUGCAGUAGUAUUACGCUGCAACUGUACUGUACUGUAAGUCUGUUAUACCCGCUGUUAUAUUUCAGUGCUUUAAAUAGUCAUGAGGCCUAACAUAUUUCCAGUAGAUCUGUAUGAACACUAGGUUGUUAUACCACAGAGCUAGUGUCAUCAUUAUAACAACAAUCUUCUAUUACUAUGUGGAUAGAACACAUUUCAGUUCAUUCGAGAAUAUCUGGGAUUAUAACGGGUCUGGUUCUUACCUUACUGAUGAAGGGGAAUUGUCGCUGGCGAGUAAGGGUCCUUUCACACUGAGCACAAUUAAGCGACAUGAAUGUUUGACCCAAUGAUGCUCUUAAAUAGAAACAGUAGAUCCCGAUGGAGCUGUUCACACCAGGUGUGAUCAUUCGCGGUGCGACAAAGCGACACUUUUUUUUGUCCAGUGUGUCUAUUUUUUUCCCCUGCAACGAAAUGGACCGUCCAAUUAGAUUUGAGCUUUAGAUCACGUGUCCGGAGACACUGCUGUUGCACAAAUGGGUGAGAUUGGUGAGAUGAUAUCACAGAAAGUGUUUUGAAAACCAGUGUAAACACUGAUGGAGAGUAUUCCGGAAGAGAGAAUAGAAUGGAUAUUGAGUUCUUGUUAUCAUUUGCUAAGUUUCCAUCUAUUUUUUGCACAUUUCUGUAAUCGACAAAGUGAAAGAGAGUAAAAAAGUUUGCGAUAUUUGCUGUUUCCUGUCUGUUUCCAUCCAACUAGCCUUUUACCGAUAAAAUGGUGCAUGCAUCAGUUACUUCUGCAAUAAAAAGUGUCGUUUGCUCAGUGCGGUUUCUCUCUCUUUCUCUUUCUUUCACACACACACACACACACACACACUCACACACUCACAACACCUGGAGAGAAACAAACCGUCGUCACAUGUCAUAGUAUAAGGUAUAUUUCUUACUGAAAUACUUCAUAUUCGUUUGAAUGAAAACAAAUAUUUAUUUUUAUAAUGUUACAGUUGGACAUUUUGUAGCAGAAAACAAUACUCAGCAUGUCAUUUGUUAUUUAUCUUUAUAUUCUUGUUGAAAGAUGUCAGCAGUAAACAUAACGGGAUAGUAAAAACUGAACUGUCACUUCAUUUAUCAAAGUUCUUCCACCACGAAAUAAAGUGGGCUGGUCUUGGAAAUUAAACUCUGGUUUUGUUAUUGCAUUAUAUUUCACAUUAUUUCAUUCAGACUAAAACAGCUUGAUGACGCUGUUCAAAAAACACAAAACAAAAUUUCUGCCUCCCUUUCUGGGUAGAAUCCACAUACAAUAAGAAAAGUUAGUUUCUGUGCUUCUUAACAGUUUGUGUUGUGGUGCUAUGCGCCAACAUUUAUGUGAUUCUUCUUCUAAGUGGUCAAAGACGAUAGGCCGAUCAGCUGAAUAGUGGGUUGCGCCACCUAGUGUGCAGGUGUAAAAUGCAUUCUUGGUCCUCGCCACCUAUUGAGCAGGUGUGAAUUAGCUGAAGGCGAUCAAUCGUUUCGUGUUUGGUGUGAAAGCACCAUUCGUCUGCGGUUCACUUCGCUUUAUCGCAUCGCGCUCAGUGUGAAAGGAUCUUAAAGCUACAAAUGCCUUUCUCAACAUCAGCUGCCUCCGUAAAAAUCUUCUAAUACGACUAGCAGGAUUAAGUUAAAAUCAUUGUGCUGCAUAAGCGAUAAACCUAUUAGGCAUGCAAGAUGUCCGUGUGUCACCGUGCCCCGAACGACUCCAAACAAGCCACAAAGUAAGAAUUACAGUGAUAGACUCCAUCCUGCUGUGCGAAAGUGCUUAUCUUACUGUUUUCUUUUUUUAAAAAGGUGCAUCGUAAUGAUGUAAGUGUGUUUCUAAUUUUAUAUCUCUUGUCUUUGUCUAGUUUAGCCUGUUUGCUCAUCGCUUGACCAUUGCCUGUCUUUGACCUUGACCCGGCCUUAUGUUAUUGGAUUUGUCUGCCUACAUCUCAAUAAAGAAAAUACACUUAAACUGUGACUGCAUCCAACUCAACCUCCAUCACAUGACACCAAAUAAAUCUUGAAAGAGUGGAUAAAUGGGGAAAUGGCUUUGCUGCCAGGAAUCACACAGAGGAUUUGAAACUUCUAAGUGUCAAACUUUGCGAUCUGACAGCGAGAAAACACAGGAAGUGCUGAGACAUUAACACACACCACUGCUCUGUCAGUCAGUCAGUCGUUAGAGAGACAGGAUGGAGUUCAGUCCACUCGCUGUGAUGCUCUGUGAGUAAAUGUUCUCUUUGUGUCUUCAUUAGAGUGAGUGGUGGGGUAUAAAGUUGUUCAUCUGCAGUCUGAAUGUCCUGAGUGAUGAGUUUGUUGUGUGAUUAGUACAUGUGCAGAAUGUUACAGUGUGCAGUCUGUUGGUUUUAUGUCCCAGCGCUAA